UACCAUGGUUACAACGGGUAACGGGGAAUUAGGGUUCGAUUCCGGAGAGGGAGCCUGAGAGAUGGCUACCACAUCCAAGGAAGGCAGCAGGCGCGCUAAUUACCCAAUCCUAACACAGGGAGGUAGUGACAAUAAAUAGCGAUACAGGGCUCUCUGAGCCUUGUAAUUGAAAUGAGUACAAUUUAAAUCUCUUAACGAGUAUCAAUUGGAGGGCAAGUCUGGUGCCAGCAGCCGCGGUAAUUCCAGCUCCAAUAGCGUAUAUUAAAGUUGUUGCAGUUAAAAAGCUCGUAGUUGGAUUUCUGGGCCUUGGUGGUGGUUCGCCGCAAGGUGUAUACUGCCACUGGAGCCCAUCCUCUCGAAGACGGGGCGUGCUCUUUACCGAGUGCGUCUUGGACUCGAGACUUUUACUUUGAAAAAAUUAGAGUGUUCAAAGCAGGCUUACGCUUGAAUACUUCAGCAUGGAAUAAUGGAAUAGGACUUUGGUCUUAUUUUGUUGGUUUCUAGGACCGAAGUAAUGAUUAAUAGGGACAGUUGGGGGCAUUAGUAUUUAAUUGUCAGAGGUGAAAUUCUUGGAUUUAUGAAAGACUAACUUCUGCGAAAGCAUUUGCCAAGGAUGUUUUCAUUAAUCAAGAACGAAAGUUAGGGGAUCGAAGACGAUCAGAUACCGUCGUAGUCUUAACCAUAAACUAUGCCGACUAGGGAUCGGUGGGUGUUAUUAAUGACCCCAUCGGCACCUUACGAGAAAUCAAAGUUUUUGGGUUCUGGGGGGAGUAUGGUCGCAAGGCUGAAACUUAAAGGAAUUGACGGAAGGGCACCACCAGGAGUGGAGCCUGCGGCUUAAUUUGACUCAACACGGGGAAACUCACCAGGUCCAGACAUAGUAAGGAUUGACAGAUUGAGAGCUCUUUCUUGAUUCUAUGGGUGGUGGUGCAUGGCCGUUCUUAGUUGGUGGAGUGAUUUGUCUGGUUAAUUCCGUUAACGAACGAGACCUUAGCCUACUAAAUAGUUACACGAUUCACGAAUCGUGGGCAACUUCUUAGAGGGACUAUCGGUGUAUAACCGGUGGAAGUUUGAGGCAAUAACAGGUCUGUGAUGCCCUUAGAUGUUCUGGGCUGCACGCGCGCUACACUGACGAAGCCAGCGAGUUUACAACCUGUUUCGGAAGGGAUGGGUAAUCUUGUGAAACUUCGUCGUGAUGGGGAUAGAUCUUUGUGAUUAUCGAUCUUCAACGAGGAAUUCCUAGUAAGCGCGACUCAUCAGGUCGCGUUGAUUACGUCCCUGCCCUUUGUACACACCGCCCGUCGCUACUACCGAUUGAAUGGUUUAGUGAGGUCUCGGGACUGGCUUUUUGGCG
rnacentral:rRNA from 1 species